rnacentral:rRNA from 1 species
CCUACGGGCGGCGGCAGUGGGGAAUAUUGGACAAUGGGGGCAACCCUGAUCCAGCCAUGCCGCGUGUGUGAAGAAGGCCCUCGGGUUGUAAAGCACUUUCAGUGAGGAAGAACGCCUGGUGGUUAAUACCCAUCAGGAAAGACAUCACUCACAGAAGAAGCACCGGCUAACUCCGUGCCAGCAGCCGCGGUAAUACGGAGGGUGCGAGCGUUAAUCGGAAUUACUGGGCGUAAAGCGCGCGUAGGUGGCUUGAUAAGCCGGUUGUGAAAGCCCCGGGCUCAACCUGGGAACGGCAUCCGGAACUGUCAAGCUAGAGUGCAGGAGAGGAAGGUAGAAUUCCCGGUGUAGCGGUGAAAUGCGUAGAGAUCGGGAGGAAUACCAGUGGCGAAGGCGGCCUUCUGGACUGACACUGACACUGAGGUGCGAAAGCGUGGGUAGCAAACAGGAUUAGAUACCCCUGUAGUC